GGGCAAGGUUCAUAUGCUGUUGUCUAUCGUGGAAUUUGGAAUGGAUCGGACGUUGCAGUUAAGCUUUACUUUGGCAAUCAAUACAAAGAAGAAACUUUGCUAGAUUACCAAAAAGAGAUUGAUAUAAUGAAGAGACUUAGACAUCCGAAUGUGUUGCUAUUCAUGGGAGCAGUAUAUUCGCAAGAACGACUUGCUAUUGUAACAGAAUUCUUGCCCAGGGGGAGCCUUUUCAAAGCACUUCACAAAAACAAUCAGGCAUUGGACAUUAGACGACGUCUUAGGAUGGCCCUUGAUGUUGCUAGAGGUAUGAAUUAUUUGCAUCACAGAAAUCCACC
rnacentral:misc_RNA from 1 species